GAUGAACGCUGGCGGCGUGCCUAAUACAUGCAAGUCGAGCGAACAGACGAGGAGCUUGCUCCUCUGACGUUAGCGGCGGACGGGUGAGUAACACGUGGAUAACCUACCUAUAAGACUGGGAUAACUUCGGGAAACCGGAGCUAAUACCGGAUAAUAUAUUGAACCGCAUGGUUCAAUGGUGAAAGACGGUUUUGCUGUCACUUAUAGAUGGAUCCGCGCCGCAUUAGCUAGUUGGUAAGGUAACGGCUUACCAAGGCGACGAUGCGUAGCCGACCUGAGAGGGUGGUCGGCCACACUGGAACUGAGACACGGUCCAGACUCCUACGGGAGGCAGCAGUAGGGAAUCUUCCGCAAUGGGCGAAAGCCUGACGGAGCAACGCCGCGUGAGUGAUGAAGGUCUUCGGAUCGUAAAACUCUGUUAUUAGGGAAGAACAAAUGUGUAAGUAACUAUGCACGUCUUGACGGUACCUAAUCAGAAAGCCACGGCUAACUACGUG
rnacentral:rRNA from 1 species